UACGAAGGGGGCUAGCGUUGUUCGGAAUUACUGGGCGUAAAGCGCGCGCAGGCGGUUUUUCAAGUCAGUGGUGAAAGCCUGGAGCUCAACUCCGGAACUGCCAUUGAAACUGUAAAACUUGAGGACGAGAGAGGUGAGUGGAAUUCCCAGUGUAGAGGUGAAAUUCGUAGAUAUUGGGAAGAACACCGGUGGCGAAGGCGGCUCACUGGCUCGUAUCUGACGCUCAGGCGCGACAGCGUGGGGAUCAAACAGG
rnacentral:rRNA from 1 species